rnacentral:rRNA from 1 species
CCUUUAGAGUUUUGAUCCUGGCUCAGAUUGAACGCUGGCGGCAGGCCUAACACAUGCAAGUCGAGCGGAAACGAAGAGGUGCUUGCACCUCUGGCGUCGAGCGGCGGACGGGUGAGUAAUGCUUGGGAAUAUGCCUUAUGGUGGGGGACAACAGUUGGAAACGACUGCUAAUACCGCAUAAUGUCUACGGACCAAAGUGGGGGACCUUCGGGCCUCACGCCAUAAGAUUAGCCCAAGUGGGAUUAGCUAGUUGGUGAGGUAAUGGCUCACCAAGGCGACGAUCCCUAGCUGGUUUGAGAGGAUGAUCAGCCACACUGGGACUGAGACACGGCCCAGACUCCUACGGGAGGCAGCAGUGGGGAAUAUUGCACAAUGGGCGCAAGCCUGAUGCAGCCAUGCCGCGUGUGUGAAGAAGGCCUUCGGGUUGUAAAGCACUUUCAGUAAGGAGGAAAGGUUAAGUGUUAAUAGCACUUAGCUGUGACGUAC